AAAUUGAAGAGUUUGAUCAUGGCUCAGAUUGAACGCUGGCGGCAGGCCUAACACAUGCAAGUCGAACGGUAGCACAGAGAGCUUGCUCUCGGGUGACGAGUGGCGGACGGGUGAGUAAUGUCUGGGAAACUGCCUGAUGGAGGGGGAUAACUACUGGAAACGGUGGCUAAUACCGCAUAACGUCGCAAGACCAAAGAGGGGGACCUUCGGGCCUCUUGCCAUCAGAUGUGCCCAGAUGGGAUUAGCUUGUUGGUGAGGUAACGGCUCACCAAGGCGACGAUCCCUAGCUGGUCUGAGAGGAUGACCAGCCACACUGGAACUGAGACACGGUCCAGACUCCUACGGGAGGCAGCAGUGGGGAAUAUUGCACAAUGGGCGCAAGCCUGAUGCAGCCAUGCCGCGUGUAUGAAGAAGGCCUUCGGGUUGUAAAGUACUUUCAGCGGGGAGGAAGGUGUUGUGGUUAAUAACCGCAGCAAUUGACGUUACCCGCAGAAGAAGCACCGGCUAACUCCGUGCCAGCAGCCGCGGUAAUACGGAGGGUGCAAGCGUUAAUCGGAAUUACUGGGCGUAAAGCGCACGCAGGCGGUCUGUCAAGUCGGAUGUGAAAUCCCCGGGCUCAACCUGGGAACUGCAUUCGAAACUGGCAGGCUUGAGUCUUGUAGAGGGGGGUAGAAUUCCAGGUGUAGCGGUGAAAUGCGUAGAGAUCUGGAGGAAUACCGGUGGCGAAGGCGGCCCCCUGGACAAAGACUGACGCUCAGGUGCGAAAGCGUGGGGAGCAAACAGGAUUAGAUACCCUGGUAGUCCACGCCGUAAACGAUGUCUACUUGGAGGUUGUGCCCUUGAGGCGUGGCUUCCGGAGCUAACGCGUUAAGUAGACCGCCUGGGGAGUACGGCCGCAAGGUUAAAACUCAAAUGAAUUGACGGGGGCCCGCACAAGCGGUGGAGCAUGUGGUUUAAUUCGAUGCAACGCGAAGAACCUUACCUGGUCUUGACAUCCACGGAAGUUUUCAGAGAUGAGAAUGUGCCUUCGGGAACCGUGAGACAGGUGCUGCAUGGCUGUCGUCAGCUCGUGUUGUGAAAUGUUGGGUUAAGUCCCGCAACGAGCGCAACCCUUAUCCUUUGUUGCCAGCGGUUAGGCCGGGAACUCAAAGGAGACUGCCAGUGAUAAACUGGAGGAAGGUGGGGAUGACGUCAAGUCAUCAUGGCCCUUACGACCAGGGCUACACACGUGCUACAAUGGCGCAUACAAAGAGAAGCGACCUCGCGAGAGCAAGCGGACCUCAUAAAGUGCGUCGUAGUCCGGAUUGGAGUCUGCAACUCGACUCCAUGAAGUCGGAAUCGCUAGUAAUCGUGGAUCAGAAUGCCACGGUGAAUACGUUCCCGGGCCUUGUACACACCGCCCGUCACACCAUGGGAGUGGGUUGCAAAAGAAGUAGGUAGCUUAACCUUCGGGAGGGCGCUUACCACUUUGUGAUUCAUGACUGGGGUGAAGUCGUAACAAGGUAACCGUAGGGGAACCUGCGGUUGGAUCACCUCCUUA
rnacentral:rRNA from 1 species